UGGUAAUGCCGGAUGCUCCAUCACACCGCAUGGUGUGUUGGGAAAGCCUUUGCGGCAUGGGAUGGGGUCGCGUCCUAUCAGCUUGAUGGCGGGGUAACGGCCCACCAUGGCUUCGACGGGUAGCCGGCCUGAGAGGGCGACCGGCCACAUUGGGACUGAGAUACGGCCCAGACUCCUACGGGAGGCAGCAGUGGGGAAUAUUGCACAAUGGGCGCAAGCCUGAUGCAGCGACGCCGCGUGAGGGAUGGAGGCCUUCGGGUUGUAAACCUCUUUUAUCAGGGAGCAAGGCUUCGGUUGAGUGUACCUGUUGAAUAAGCACCGGCUAACUACGUGCCAGCAGCCGCGGUAAUACGUAGGGUGCAAGCGUUAUCCGGAAUUAUUGGGCGUAAAGGGCUCGUAGGCGGUUCGUCGCGUCCGGUGUGAAAGUCCAUCGCUUAACGGUGGAUCCGCGCCGGGUACGGGCGGGCUUGAGUGCGGUAGGGGAGACUGGAAUUCCCGGUGUAACGGUGGAAUGUGUAGAUAUC
rnacentral:rRNA from 1 species